UCCCUGGUGGUCCAGUGGCUUAAGACGCCAUGCUUCCGAUGCAGGGGGGGACCCAGGUUCAAUCCCUGGUCAGGGAA